rnacentral:rRNA from 1 species
GAUGAACGCUGGCGGCGUGCCUAAUACAUGCAAGUCGAGCGAACAGACGAGGAGCUUGCUCCUCUGACGUUAGCGGCGGACGGGUGAGUAACACGUGGAUAACCUACCUAUAAGACUGGGAUAACUUCGGGAAACCGGAGCUAAUACCGGAUAAUCUAUUGAACCGCAUGGUUCAAUAGUGAAAGACGGUGUUGCUGUCACUUAUAGAUGGAUCCGCGCCGCAUUAGCUAGUUGGUAAGGUAACGGCUUACCAAGGCAACGAUGCGUAGCCGACCGGAGAGGGUGAUCGGCCACACUGGAACUGAGACACGGUCCAGACUCCUACGGGAGGCAGCAGUAGGGAAUCUUCCGCAAUGGGCGAAAGCUUGGCGGAGCAACGCCGCGUGAGUGAUGAAGGUCUUCGGAUCGUAAAACUCUGUUAUUAGGGAAGAACAAAUGUGUAAGUAACUAUGCACGUCUUGACGGUACCUAAUCAGAAAGCCACGGCUAACUACGUG